ACACACACACACAGCCUCAGGAACAUCUCCCCGUUCUCAUCUGGACCAUCCUGGACCUGGACCUGCACAGGUGAGACAUGGACAGGUGAGACAUGGACAGGUGAGACAUGGACAGGUGAGACAUGGACAGGUGAGACAGGUGAGACAUGGACAGGUGAGACAGGAACACACAGACACACACACACAGAGCCUCAGGAACAUCUCCCCGUUCUCAUCUGGACCAUCCUGGACCUCCACCUGUGCACAGGUGAGACAUGGACAGUGAGACAUGGACAGGUGAGACAGGAACAGACACACAGAGCCACAGGAACAUCUCCCCAUUCUCAUCUGGACCGUCCUGGACCUGGACCUGUACAGGUACAACAGGUGAGACACAGACAGACACACAGACAGACACACGGACACAGGUGAGAUAUGGACACCCAGGUGGAACAGGGCCAGGUGAGACACACGGACACACAGACACACAGACACAUGGACACACACAGACA